UACGGAGGGUGCAAGCGUUAUCCGGAUUUAUUGGGCUUAAAGGGCUCGUAGGCGGUCAGGUAAGUCAGUUGUGAAAUCUUCAAGCUUAACUUGGAAACUGCCAUUGAUACUAUUUAUCUUGAAUACUUUGGAGGUAAGCGGAAUAUGUCAUGUAGCGGUGAAAUGCUUAGAUAUGACAUAGAACACCAAUUGCGAAGGCAGCUUACUGCACAGUUAUUGACACUGAGGCACGAAAGCGUGGGGAGCAAACAGG
rnacentral:rRNA from 1 species